CAAUCCCGACACGGGAGGUAGUGACAAUAAAUAACAAUAUAGGGCUCUUUCGGGUCUUAUAAUUGGAAUGAGUACAAUUUAAAUCCCUUAACGAGGAACAAUUGGAGGGCAAGUCUGGUGCCAGCAGCCGCGGUAAUUCC
rnacentral:rRNA from 1 species